AUUGAACGCUGGCGGCAGGCUUAACACAUGCAAGUCGAGCGGAGUGAUGGUGCUUGCACUAUCACUUAGCGGCGGACGGGUGAGUAAUGCUUAGGAAUCUGCCUAUUAGUGGGGGACAACAUCUCGAAAGGGAUGCUAAUACCGCAUACGUCCUACGGGAGAAAGCAGGGGAUCACUUGUGACCUUGCGCUAAUAGAUGAGCCUAAGUCGGAUUAGCUAGUUGGUGGGGUAAAGGCCUACCAAGGCGACGAUCUGUAGCGGGUCUGAGAGGAUGAUCCGCCACACUGGGACUGGGACACGGCCCAGACUCCUACGGGAGGCAGCAGUGGGGAAGAUUGGACAAUGGGGGGAACCCUGAUCUAGCCAUGCCGCGUGUGUGAAGAAGGCCUUAUGGUUGUAAAGCACUUUAAGCGAGGAGGAGGCUCUUUUGGUUAAUACCCAAGAUGAGUGGACGUUACUCGCAGAAUAAGCACCGGCUAACUCUGUGCCAGCAGCCGCCGUAA
rnacentral:rRNA from 1 species